UCCAAACAAAAGUUAUACUCUCUUUCUCUCUCUACUUUCUCUCUCUAAACGCAAAGCGAGAUGAGAUGCUAAUCUCCCGCUCAUAACUCUCUCUAUCUCUCGUGCCCUCGAUCUCAUCGCCCUCCUCUCUCUCUCUCUCUUCUCACUCUGUAUCAUGUAUAAGUUAAUUGUUGUUUGUUGAAAAUCGCUGAAGACUUUCGAGAGAUUUACAGAGCCAUAUGCAUUUGGGUCUCUCCAACUGAGUUAUAAUCUUGGAUCUAGAUUUGCUGCAUUCUUGAGGUGUGUGAAGUUUUUUCAUGCUUAAUUAAUUAUGAUUAAUUGCUUCAAAUUGACAAGUUUGUGAUUAGAUUUGAAUUGCUGUGUUUCUCUUUAAGGUGUAAUGGUUUUGUUUCUUGCAUUGUGAGCAUUUCAAGCCGAGGCAUGAUGAAAUUGGGCUUCAUUUUGGAUUUGGUAGAUUGAAAGUUGAGAAUUAUAGUUUUGAUUAUUUAUUGAACCAUUGCCUUCCCUUUAAGGUAUUAUAGUUCCAUUUCUGAGCAAUUGAAGCAUUUCAAAGAAGGUAAGGUGGAAUUCAGUGUUCCUAUUGAAUUUUGUAGCUUGAAAUUUAUAAUUUGGUGAUCAGCAUUGAAUUAUCUAUGCUCUUUUUAAGGAAUGAUAAUUUCAUUUCUUGCA